UUGAAAGGGAAACGAUUGAAGUCAGUCAUACUGACGGGUAAUCAACCUUUCGGACGCGAUUAUGUGGCGCGUGUUGGAGCCUAACCGGUCCUCAUGUCUGCAUAUUCGUUUCCCUUGGGUGUACUUGCCUGUGUGGUAGGUUAACAUCAAUUUCGGACGUCAUAAAAUGACGGGAGGAAUGUAGCUUUAGUCUCGUACUGAAGUGUUAUAGACUCUGGUAGAUGUGACGUUCGGGAUUGAGGAUUGCAACGGAUACCCUUCGGGCUACCCGCCUGGCCUCUGAUGGUCGCCGUGGUGCCGAAAGCUUGCUUAUGGUCAUCAGGGUUGGCUGUCAAAAGGCUAGAACGGGUUAAAUUCGUUAAGGAUGUUGACGUAAUGGCUUUAAACGACCCGUCUUGAAACACGGACCA
rnacentral:rRNA from 1 species